rnacentral:rRNA from 1 species
UACGAAGGGGGCUAGCGUUGUUCGGAAUCACUGGGCGUAAAGGGCGCGUAGGCGGGCUCCUAAGUCGAGGGUGAAAUCCUGUGGCUCAACCACAGAACGGCCUUCGAUACUGGGAGCCUGGAGUUCGAGAGAGGUCGGUGGAAUUGCGAGUGUAGAGGUGAAAUUCGCAGAUAUUCGCAGGAACACUAGUGGCGAAGGCGGCCAACUGGCUCGAUACUGACGCUGAGGCGCGAAAGCGUGGGGAG